rnacentral:rRNA from 1 species
AGGUUAAGUUACAAAGGGCGCACGGUGGAUGCCUUGGCACUAGGAGCCGAUGAAGGACGGAACUAAUACCGAUAUGCUUCGGGGAGCUAUAAGUAAGCUUUGAUCCGGAGAUUUCCGAAUGGGGGAACCCAGUACACAUCAGUGUAUUGCUUGUCAGUGAAUACAUAGCUGGCCGGCGGCAGACGCGGGGAACUGAAACAUCUCAGUACCCGCAGGAAGAGAAAGAAAACUCGAUUCCCAUAGUAGCGGCGAGCGAAGUGGGAAGAGCCCAAACCGAGAAGCUUGCUUCUCGGGGUUGUAGGACUGGACAUUGGAGUUACCAAAGUCCGACGUAGUCGAAGUCAGCUGGAAAGCUGCGCCACAGAAGGUGAAAGCCCUGUAAGCGAAACGUCGAACCCUCCGUCCAGGAUCCUGAGUACGGCGGAACACGUGAAAUUCCGUCGGAAUCCGGGAGGACCAUCUCCCAAGGCUAAAUACUCCCUAGUGACCGAUAGUGAACCAGUACCGUGAGGGAAAGGUGAAAAGCACCCCGGAAGGGGAGUGAAACAGUUCCUGAAACCGUGUGCCUACAAUUAGUCAAAGCCCGUUAAUGGGUAAUGGCGUGCCUUUUGUAGAAUGAACCGGCGAGUUACGUUUGCUUGCGAGGUUAAGAUGAAAAGUCGGAGCCGUAGCGAAAGCGAGUCUGAACAGGGCGAAUGAGUAAGCAGAUGUAGACCCGAAACCAAGUGACCUACCCAUGACCAGGUUGAAGGUGUGGUGAAACACACUGGAGGACCGAACCCAUGUAUGUUGAAAAAUGCUGGGAUGAGUUGUGGGUAGCGGUGAAAUUCCAAACGAACUUGGAGAUAGCUGGUUCUCUCCGAAAUAGCUUUAGGGUUAGCCUCGGAGGAUGGAUCAUGGAGGUAGAGCACUGUUUGAACUAGGGGCCCAUCAAGGGUUACUGAAUUCAGAUAAACUCCGAAUACCAUCGAUCUUACUCCGGGAGUCAGACAGUGAGCGAUAAGGUCCAUUGUCGAAAGGGGAACAGCCCAGAUCACCAGUUAAGGUCCCUAAAUUUAUGCUAAGUGGAAAAGGAUGUGGCGUUGCACAGACAACUAGGAUGUUGGCUCAGAAGCAGCCACCAUUUAAAG